CUGAGAUGCCAGCCGAUGGCCAGCGUGGCUAGUAGGAAAACCGCAGCGCCCUUCCACAUUCUCGCUUGAUUUCUUUGCAACACUAAUAGCUACGAGCUGUUGCCGGCUCGGCGUUCGGGCGGCGACUGAGAUGCCGGUUACCAGCGGUCCGCUACUUCUUGCUCUAUUAUUGUCCCCUCUACUCCGGAGAGACGCGAGCGAACAGCUCCGAGAUCGAUGUGUGCGUUGGGCUCGUCGUCUAAUGAUGAUUUUGCAUUUCAUUCCGCGACUGGAGAGUAAUUUCGGAAUUUUACUCUGUAAACCUUGUGAGUCAUUAAUUUUUUUCAGCGAAGACGUAGUACACAAAUAGUUGAUUUAAUGAAGAAAAAGACCGCAGAUUUGAUAUCGUUUCAUAAUAUUAUUCGAAUGAGAUUUGUUCCUUUUCAAUUUCUCGGAUAAUAUCGGGGAACAUGAAGAAGAAAGCACUGAAAAAAAUAGCAGAGGACCUGGAAUGUCUGGAGGCUGGCAGGAAGCAAAUGCGCCGAGAUUGGAUAACGAUGCGCAAGAGAAUCGAAGAAGAGGUGUCCAUUAAAUGGGAAAUCGCGGAUGAUGAAUCGAAGAGAAAUUUCGUACAGAGUAUCAUCGAGAGAGUCCUGGAGACUGAUGCUAGACUGAUGAACUUCGAUAAAAAAUUGCUCUGCGUUCAACAGGAAAUAGGCGCCCAUGCAGCUAAAGCGUAAUAAGUUAGCCUAUACCCUGGCCCAUUGCUAAUAUGAUCGCAGUGAAGAUAAGAUCGUGAAUAUUUGUUGGCGUUAAAAUUUGAACACAUGUGCGGCUACAUCAGAUUGAAAGUUACGGUUCCGGGAUGAGACAGCACGAAAAGUCACAUCCUCAUCAUCGGGUAUGCUACACAACGCAGUAUAUUAUCGUCCCGGUGACGCUAUCUGCGAAAUUGGAUUUUUAAAUUUGACGUCUGCUACUAUACCUUGAUGUCGAAGAAGAAAUAAAAAGCGAAUUACGGAAGUGUAAAUUGGUCGAUCAGUGCAACGCUUUCUCUUUGUAUGUUUAUUUAUGCUAAUGCUGGAUUCAUUAUGCAGUGUGCAAUCGUGAAAGCGUUAAUUGUUGAAUGAAUUAGUGACAUCGAUCAUAUUGUGGACUAAUCCUGACGUAUAUAGGUAUAUCGAAUUGUUGCUAACCUAAAUCACGAGUAAUGGAAUUCUCAGACACAAAAACAAAGUUCGAGAGGUCCGAUAAGAUUCGCAAAUUAUCAAGUUGUACCGAGAAUCAGCAGUUUCGUUUUGUUCAGUGCAUUCGUUCAUAAGUCGAGUGCGUUUGAUCUUAUUUCACAACAAAUAAAGUUUCUUAUGGUGGCAUCCUGUGUAUAUAACAUACAAGACUUUAUUUUUUAUUUACUUUUACUUGGCUGUAUUUACAUUAGUUACCUCAAUGUCAAUAAAAUGUAAUACGAAAAUAA